rnacentral:rRNA from 1 species
AUCGCAUGAUUCAAGUUUGAAAGGCGGCGCAAGCUGUCACUUUAGGAUGAGCCCGCGGCGCAUUAGCUAGUUGGUGGGGUAAAGGCCUACCAAGGCAAUGAUGCGUAGCCGAGUUGAGAGACUGAUCGGCCACAUUGGGACUGAGACACGGCCCAAACUCCUACGGGAGGCAGCAGUAGGGAAUCUUCCACAAUGGACGCAAGUCUGAUGGAGCAACGCCGCGUGAGUGAAGAAGGUUUUCGGAUCGUAAAGCUCUGUUGUUGGUGAAGAAGGAUAGAGGCAGUAACUGGUCUUUAUUUGACGGUAAUCAACCAGAAAGUCACGGCUAACUACGUGCCAGCAGCCGCGGUAAUACGUAGGUGGCAAGCGUUGUCCGGAUUUAUUGGGCGUAAAGCGAGCGCAGGCGGAAUGAUAAGUCUGAUGUGAAAGCCCACGGCUCAACCGUGGAACUGCAUCGGAAACUGUCAUUCUUGAGUGCAGAAGAGGAGAGUGGAAUUCCAUGUGUAGCGGUGGAAUGCGUAGAUAUAUGGAAGAACACCAGUGGCGAAGGCGGCUCUCUGGUCUGCAACUGACGCUGAGGCUCGAAAGCAUGGGUAGCGAACAGGAUUAGAUACCCUGGUAGUCCAUGCCGUAAACGAUGAGCGCUAGGUGUUGGGGACUUUCC